AUUGAACGCUGGCGGCAGGCCUAACACAUGCAAGUCGAGCGGAUGAAGGGAGCUUGCUCCUGGAUUCAGCGGCGGACGGGUGAGUAAUGCCUAGGAAUCUGCCUGGUAGUGGGGGAUAACGUCCGGAAACGGGCGCUAAUACCGCAUACGUCCUGAGGGAGAAAGUGGGGGAUCUUCGGACCUCACGCUAUCAGAUGAGCCUAGGUCGGAUUAGCUAGUUGGUGGGGUAAAGGCCUACCAAGGCGACGAUCCGUGACUGGUCUGAGAGGAUGAUCAGUCACACCGGAACUGAGACACGGUCCAGACUCCUACGGGAGGCAGCAGUGGGGAAUAUUGGACAAUGGGCGAAAGCCUGAUCCAGCCAUGCCGCGUGUGUGAAGAAGGUCUUCGGAUUGUAAAGCACUUUAAGUUGGGAGGAAGGGCAGUAAGUUAAUACCUUGCUGUUUUGACGUUACCGACAGAAUAAGCACCGGCUAACUUCGUG
rnacentral:rRNA from 1 species